rnacentral:misc_RNA from 1 species
GAAGGCGGCAUUAGAACGUAAAGCAGUUAAAGGGGUGUCAUUUUAAUAUACACCGUGGAGAGAUAUUUUGUUCCGAAAAGCAGAAAUUCUUAAGAGAAUUCAGCAGCAUUACAUCAAACACAAAAUACUUAAGAAAUGAAAAGAAGCGAGCCAUCAGGAGACCAAAAGUUUGAUGAGGUUGAUGACAUUAGGACUUCAGUGUCUCGCCUCUUACAAAGAACAUUGCUUACAGACGUAGAAUUCCAUGUAUUUGUUGGAACAUCAGAGAGAGUUUUUCCCGCUCACAAACUCAUCCUUGCCUGCAGAAGUCCUAUUCUAGCUGACAAAUUCUACAAGGAAAAAGCUACUUAUGUCAUUUUUGAAUCUGAUGUCGGACCUUUAGGCAUCGAACAAAUGAUUAGUCAUCUGAAUUCGGCCCAGUUAACAGAAUUCGAAUUGACCUCAUUGGAGAACCUAGCAAAAAAGAGGAAUUGAAUACAUUAAUUCUGAUGAACUUGUGAGCUGUUCUGUAUCUGAUCUCAAACAAACGCUGAAAGUAGCAACGAAAUUCGGAAUAAAAUCUCUGCAAAACCUGUGCGUUUCGAGGUUUACAGACCUGGAUAUCAACGCGGACAAUGUGUUUGAAGUAUUAGAAGCUGCGGACUUCGUAAGACACGAAGAAGUUCGUCAGAAAUGUAUGAAGGUUCUCAUAAAUUAUACUGAAGCUGCGUUAAAUUCUUCUGCGUUUAAAGAUGCAAGUCUGGCUACUGUGCUUUGUAUGUUUCGAUUGACGGAAUUAAACAUUUAUAGUGAAUCCUGCUUACUUGAAGCUGCUAUCUCGUGGUUAAAACAUAAUCCAACUUGUUCAAAAAAUUAACUAUUGUCUUGCAUAGAUAUUACGACACUAAGUACUGAAGAAUUUUUAGGAAUUGUAGAAAAGUUUCCAACAUUUUUUAGUGACAAAGAAAUAGUCAAAAUUCUUUUAAAUAUUAGACAUUUUGGAUCUCGAGAUUUGCCUACAUUUUGCGUUACUCAUAGCGUCAGAAGAAACUUUCUUAAACAUAAGAACAAAAUACCUCAUAAAUUCGAGACUACAGAAACUGCUGAGACAGCGUUUGAAUCUAAAUUGUUUCCUGCAAAAAGGACCACAGGAACAGAAAUAAAAACUACAGCUGUUGUUACUGCAAAUAAAUGUAUUCAAACCUCUGCUUGUACGUAUAUUUCAGAUCCUUCAAAACCAGAGCAAAGAAAUCAGUUAAAUGCGGAAUGGAAGAGUUUUUUCUGCGCCUGUAAGAAUUCUGAAAACACUACCCAAGAAACAGUUCACUACUCAACAGACAAUAAAAAUUUACUGAAAGAUCAGCCGUUAAUUUUCAAUGAAGAACAUUUCUCAGGCUCAGAGGUGAAUAGAGCGGAAAGGAAGCAAGCGUUUUCCGGAAUGUCUUCUACAUGGAAUAAAGAAGAAAUACUCAGGCAGCUGACUGUCUCUUCUUUAUGUAGUGAACAUCCGAGUUGCCAGUCGCUUCCGCCAUCAGAAAUACAUGUAUACCGACUCGGGGAGAAUUGGCCAUUAUCGAGAAAUAACAAAUACAAGCCCAUGAGUGAUCAAUUUAGAUCCCCAGAAAUGAUAAAUCGCCCAAUUAACCAGAAAUUUUCAUGCAGAAUCACAGACGACUCUCACCAUAGCAAUUUACCAACAAGCAUUAGAGAAGAUCCAGUCAGUAAUUCAGUUCAGCCGCCAAGAACGGUAGACGACACUAACAGUAUGUCUAUUCUUCCUUCAAGCUUGAUGGGAGAUUCAAACGGCAAGCCACUUCCGCCUUCAAGGGUAAUGACAGAUCCAAACAGUAAACCAAUUGUGCCCCCUAAACCGAUGAGAAUACAAGAAAUUUCGCCCGGAAUAAUAAAGGAAAAUCCAAGAAAUAAGCCUGUUCUACCCCCAAGACCGAUGAAACAUUCAAGCAAUAAGCCGACUCCGCUCCAACGAAUAAAGAAAGAUCGCAUUAACGACACCAUCCCGUCCCAAGGCAAAUAGUAAUUGUUGCAAUAAUAUUGUUGCUUUCUACGGGUUCGUGGAUUUCGAGUGAUCGAUAACAACACGUGAUGAAGAAUCAAAAUACAAUUUAUUCGCCAGUGUCACUGAGGAGACAGUUCAAAAACACGUUUACAGUCAUCGAAAUGACUACGUUAAAAAAUCAGCAACACAGCCUUUGGGCUAUCAGGCUAUAACAGUGAAGACAUCUUCACGGCAAAGCACUAAAGUACAGCUUCCGACUCGGUUCGGUCACUCUCGGAGCUCAAGGCACUGCUACUGAACUCAACGUACUCUCGAUGACAUACUGAUGAUACUCACCGAUACUCUGCGCAUAGAAAGGGGGUUUAUAUAGCUUUUGGCCUGCCUUCGAGAUCAUUCUGAGCCAAACCGAUGAGAAUUAGUUCUAAAAUGUUCUCCAUCCGUCUAUGGCUUAUCGCCAAAUGGGCGAUUUCGCGCUAAGUCUGGCAACCCUAAUUUUCCUUGCCAUUUGCCAACUUUGUCGGGAAGCUGCCUGAUUGCAGCUGAGCAUUUCGUAACUAUUCUAUAUAUUCAUUAGUAUAUACUUCUAUAUAUUCAUUAGUAUAUACUUCUAUAUAUUCAUUAGUAUAUACUUCUAUAUAUUCAUUAGUAUAUACUUCUAUAUAUUCAUUAGUAUAUAAUACCUAUUACAUAGUAUAUUGAAAUACCAAAGGAAAGAUGUACUUAUCGUUUGUAGUUCAGGUUCACUAAGGGUAUAUAGAAUCUGAAGCAGACAUUAAAAAAUUUCAGGCAUAGGAAAAUUAUAAACCCCUUUAAUUAGUUAUUAAUCUGUCUUAUUAAAUAUUUUUAAAUACUCAUAUAUUA